rnacentral:misc_RNA from 1 species
AAACGUACCUUGCGCCCGCCAGUAUUCUAGCAGGUAUGCCUAUUCGAGUGUUAUUUUAACCAUCAAGCCCCGGGCUUAUGUUGGGGAUCUGCAGCUGCCCGUAGGCCCUGAAAACCAGUGGCGGGCUCGCUAUUACUCCAAGCGUAGUAGUACUUGUAUCUCGCUUAGGGCGUACCGCGGGCUCCAGCCGUUAAACCGCCUCUUUAGUACCUAAAGGUUGACCUUGGAUUAGGUAGGAGGACCCGCUGAACUUAA